AAAAAAAAAACAGAGAGUUUCUUGGCUCUCUCUCCCUCAUUUCCCCUUUUGCUAGGGUUUAUACCCAUCAUUGCCGCCGCCAUGGAGCCACCGUAAGUGGUGGUCGGGGUUGCUUGAAUGGGGGCUUUUGACCCCGAUUUUGGGGGCGCCUGAAGGCCCUAUUUUCUUAGCCCAAAAAUCUGAAGGGAGAGACCCCCAUUUUCCUUUUUGAGAGCCGAUUUCAACGACGGAGUAGGGCUCCGAUGUCGCGGC
rnacentral:lncRNA from 1 species